rnacentral:rRNA from 1 species
CCUGGUGGCUUUGGCGGGGAGACUGCACCCGAUCCCAUCCCGAACUCGGCCGUGAAAACCCCCAGCGCCCAUGGUACUGCGUCUCAAGACGCGGGAGAGUAGGUCGCCGCCAGGU